UCCCCAAUAGUCUAGGCGGCUAGGAUACGUGGCUUUCACCCACGCCGACCGGGUUCGAGUCCAGGAUGGGAAU